AGCCUCUGUGGACCAGAUCCCUCUCAACUGAUCGGGUGCAGGCUGGGCUGCAGGUAGUUAGUGAGUGCCUGAGAUGUGCAGGCAUGCUCCAGGCACUGGGAACACAGCCUUGAACCAACAGACAAAACCGUCUGCAUGCAUGGAGCUUGCAUCCUGACAGGAGGGACAAGCAAGAAACGAAGAAAUAAAUCGACAGCAUUCCAUUAGUUAGCACCUAGAUAAAAGAGAUAUACCUAUAGUGUUCAAAGCUUGAGCUAUGAGAAAUAAAAGAGCAAAAGAUCGUUUUCAUCAAAAGGACUAUGAAGCAUGUUAUGUUUUACUUAACAAAACCAGUGCUAACCAUGUUACAUCCUCCAGACUUGAAGUGUGUGGGUGUGUUUAACAGACACAAUUUUACCUUUUUUUCCCUUUUAAGUUAUCCGUCAACAUUUUUCAGUCUCUCUUUAAAGAGCAUCUUAAAUUUGCAUAAUAGUCAUUCAUCUUAAUAAAAACAUUACACUGUUGUUGGACAUUGUUGUUUCCUUUCAGGUUUAACUCUUUAAAAACUUCUCUAACUCAGCCGCAGGGUGCACUGCCUCAUGCCUGUAGUCCCGGCACUUCAGGAGGCCAAGGUGGGUGGAUCACGAGGUCAAGAGACUGAGACCAUUCUGGCUAACAU
rnacentral:lncRNA from 1 species